CUAUAGCCAAGUGGUAAGGCACCGGAUUCUGACUCCGGCAUCGUUAGUUCGAAUCUAACUA
rnacentral:tRNA from 1 species